GCUGGGCAUGUGGUGCAUACCUGUAAUCCCAGCUACUUGGGAGGCUGAGGCAGGAGGAUCCCAAGUUUGACACCAACUUAGCUAGACCCUGUCUUAA
rnacentral:sRNA from 1 species